UCAGGGACUCCAGUUACACCGGUUACAUGGCAUGAAGAUUCCCACAGCUUACAGGUUCUUCUCAUUGUGAGUUUUCAAUAAUAUGUAUCAUCAUCAACAUAGUUACCUUGCUGCACAAUGGAGCUCCUGGGAUUUAUUCUUCAUCUAUCUGCAUCUAUACUUCAGUGUUUAAUGUCUGGCUUCAAAAAGGGGAAAAACGAAGAGGAAGGGGAUAUUAAUGCCCUCUCCCCCUCACGGAGUGUUCUUCCAAUGGAGGGGAGGCCCUGUCCCUCUAGGAGAAGCUACAGCAGCAAUGAUCGUCUUUCUUUGUGAUCAGAAGUAGUUCCUAGAAAUCUGACCACAAGUGAUGAAACUGUGGAGGGAAGUGUCCCUUUAAUCUGCCUGGACUCAUCGAAGGUGUGUGCAAGUCACUUCUGGAGCACACAAAGAGACCUCUGCCAUGGAACUACAGAGAGGGGGUGAGUGGUUGCCCUGGUGCUCUGAGCAGAAAUCGACUAAACAUCACCUCUUAGCCUCCUUGGAACUUGCAACCCUCCCGCUGUUUCUAGGGUUUGAAAAUCUUUACACCAGGCAGAUUCUGAUAGGUUGAGGUGAGAGAUAGGUUCCUGAUGCUUUCUACCCACCAUGCUUCUAUCCAAUUAAUGUUGGCUUUGACAUACACUAGGUAUAAUUCCCAUUGUGCCAUUUUUGUAUCGCUGAUGAGUCCCUGAAGAAAUACCCAAUCCCCUCAUGCAUUAUAUAUUGUUAUUUGCCUCUAAAAAUCUAAGUAUCUUCAUAACA